AGGUAAUGGUUUGUUUCUUCAAUUGUUACAUGAUGAUUCCACACAAGACCAAGCGUUUGGCUGCUACACUAAAGUGGGACAGUCAAUUUACAACGAGUUGGUUCUAUUGUUCGGGAAAUUGGGGAAUCUUGUCUUCAUUGAUCUCCUAUAAAGGUUGGUAUGGAACUAGAAUGGAGGUUAUUUCAGAUGCAGUCAAUCAUGGCGGAUUUUGGUAUGGUUUCGAUGAUGUUGGCUUUGGGUAGUCUCAGUUAUCUUGGUGGAAAUAUUCGGUUUAAUUUGUGUUCUCAGUUCAGUAAGGAAUAUUACUGAUUUGCUUCUUUUUCCUUUUGUUGGAAUAAUUAGUCAAAAGUGCUUCAAUUUGUGUAUUUGCAUGUUGAAUGGAAGGUGUGUUGAAAGGGUAAAAUGGAAUAAUAGUUUUUUUUCCAUAA